rnacentral:snoRNA from 1 species
CGGGAUGAGGAGUUCAGCCUAAGCUGAGACAUGAUGAGGGAGUGACGGACUGACCG